rnacentral:tRNA from 1 species
GCCUGGGUGGCUCAGUUGGUUAAGUGUCUGACUUUGGCUCGGGCCAUGAUCUCACUGUUCGUGGGUUCGAGCCCCAUGUCAGGCU